rnacentral:rRNA from 1 species
UACGUAGGGUGCAAGCGUUGUCCGGAUUUAUUGGGCGUAAAGAGCUCGUAGGCGGCUUGUUGCGUCGACCGUGAAAACCCGUGGCUCAACUGCGGGCUUGCGGUCGAUACGGGCGGGCUAGAGUUCGGUAGGGGAGACUGGAAUUCCUGGUGUAGCGGUGAAAUGCGCAGAUAUCAGGAGGAACACCGGUGGCGAAGGCGGGUCUCUGGGCCGAUACUGACGCUGAGGAGCGAGAGCGUGGGGAGCGAACAGG